CGGACCUAUUGCACUGGAAUCGAUGCCGUAUCCAAGGAAUUGUUAGUUGGUCAAGAGUCGGCGGAUGAUGCGUUGAUUGAAUGAAUGAUGUCAAUGAAGCCAAAUUCCUGCGUCCGAAAGCCUAGAUGUGCAGGCCCUGAAGUGGAACGCUCUGCCAGGAACGUAUACAUCAUCGCUCCAAGAAAACUAGAUCACUUUCCGGGACCAAACUAGCUCCAACAUCGUCCAAUAUGAUAUCUACCGAAAGAUGUAAAAUAAUUCAGCAACAGACACUGUUGAACAUCAAUAAACAUCAAUCUUGUUUUAUUUUGAUUUAAUUAAAGUAUUUAAAA